AUUUCUUUUUUUGUCCAAAGUGAGUUCAUACUGCCCUGAGCUCCUGAACAUCUGUCUAUGAGGCAUGCUUAAGGGUGCAGUCCCAUAGGACAAGCUGAGCCAAUCUAACAGCUCAUUGGAGCUGAAAGAGGAAGCUCUCAGGUCCAACAAUCCAAGAGAGGGAUACUUACAAUCCUAUUGCCAUAGGAUUAUUUCUCCUCAACACCAUUAAUCAUCAUCAAGGAAUGCCCAGACAGCCUUUAAAUUAGAGAUAAAUGUUGCAUGCAGCAACUUAAUGUUUUCUUCCAGAUGAAACUCAUAUAUACCCUUGGGCCUAAUACUCAUCCCUGCUGAAGCCCUCCGGAAGUUUUGUUCCCGCUUGACCUUGGACCUGCUGCAGGCUUGCCUGCUGAUCAGUGGACUGCAGCUGACCCUGGUCACCAUCACUGGACCUGCUGUGCCCUUCUUGUUGGGGCACUGUUGGACUGUGCCCCUUGUUGCUGCAGACACAGCCCACAGCUGAGGUUGUCACCCUCAGCUUCCAGCUUGCCUUCCCUUGCAGAGCAGCCCACUCCUGCUGCUCCCUGACACAAAGCUACUUCCCAUGGACAUCAAGGUUCAGGAAUGAGAAGGGGAGAAGGGUGAUGAAGUGAAGGAUGAUGAAGCAUGCUUGAGUUUUACCCAGUCAAGGUGGGUGUUGCUGGCCCAAAGAGCUCAGAAGUACUCCCGGCUCUGUCAAUUAGGCAUUCACAGAAUCAGCUAAACUUAAGAUGCAAUUGGGUAAAUUUACAGAUAGAUCGUAACCAAGAAAUGGAACGUUAAGAAGAAUCCCAAGCCUAUAAUGAAGUUGAAGUUCAGCACUUGAACUAAUAUAGAUCAGCCUUGGUAAAGAAUGCAGGUGAAGUUACGAACUUCCUCCUGCUUUGUGGUGGGCAUAUAAAAUAGCAAGCCAAUUCAGAUUCUUGAAACGGUAAUCAUCAACUAUUAAACAGACAGGUAUGUAUUCAGAUACUGUGAAUAGUAUUAAAAGCCAUUCAUAUUGAUGCCCCACUUGCCAAUUAUCAUUAAAAAUAACUUUAUGGUUUGGCUAGAAUACAGUGACUCACUACAGUAGUGAGUAUAGUAUUUCUUUUACAGCAGCUUUUAUGAAAAUAUGACAUAGUUGUGGAAUUGCCUAGUAAUAUUUGAAUUACCAGAUGUGACCACUGUUACGGGUUCAGUUGAAUAUAAAUAAUGAUGUGACAUAUGCUUUACAGAAAGGCACAUUAGGGAAUAAACAUCCAUUAUGAUAAUGGUAAAAUUGCUUUCAGAAGGCAGUCGGAAGAGCCCUUAACUGGGACUCAGGAUGCAUCUGUCCUGUUCCAUAAUCCAUUCAAAUGACUUUACUUCAUUAGUUCUCAUUUCUGGAAUCCUUGAAAUCUACCAAUAACCAAGACUUUUUUGGUGGAUAUUCUUUAUGAUAAGUAUGAGGACUUUGCCUUCCCUCUUUUACCUGUCAGUUGUCACAUGAUGUUAGCCCAAGUAUAUCAAAGCUUAUCAAUGCUCAUAAGCUCUUAUUAGCAAUGAUUUGCUAGAUCCGAGAUGACUCCCUAUAAUUAUCUCCAAUAAACUUUGGGUACCGGGAAGCCUUACCCUUUAGUUCACCUAAGCAAGUUCCAUCCAUUCAUAUAUUGAUUUUCUUUUUGGACAAAUAUAUGGAUGAUAUUCUUAGUUGCAAUUAUAUUUCUGGAUUUACUUAUGCCAAAAGUAUACAGAAAAAAAUCUUCAGAUUUCCUUCUUUGCAUUUGUUCUGUCAUCUUACUGUGAGAAAGAGUAAGCGGGGGGCACAAUUGAUGCCCUCUAUAUCUCUCGUUGUUUUGCAUGCUUCUGUAAUAUAUGCUCUGUAGCAAUCUUCUUUGUAAGUUUGUCAGUCAUAAUCCUUUUCUUCCCCCAGAAUUUGUUCAUGGAGAUGUCUUUUACUGUCUCAAAUCCUUUAAUUGUUUGGUUUGAAUUCUUUUAGCUGUUAUCACUUCCUUCAUAAUACUUCUUGGCAAUAGUUAUAAACAUGUUUUUUCUCAGAAACCUUCUUUCACUUUUCCAGUAAUACAUCAAUUUUAGUGUAAUUCCCCUUGCUUCUCAUGAGCUAUUAAGACACAUUGUAUGUCUUUUACUGUACAGCUUCUAAUAUGUGUGAUUGUAGAUAUAAUUGCACCAGGCACUUCCGUCUCAGCUGUGAAUCACAAGCAUUGCACUGAUACUGCUU